CGUAGGUAAUCUAUCCUUAUAUUUGGGAUAACAUCGGGAAACUGGUGCUAAUACCGAAUGGUCUUCAUAGCUGUUGGGCUAUGGAGUAAAGGUGGCCUCUUCAUGAAAGCUACCGUGUAGGGAUGAGCCUGCGUACCAUUAGCUAGUAGGUGGGGUAAUGGCCCACCUAGGCUACGAUGGUUAGCGGGUCUGAGAGGAUGAUCCGCCACACUGGAACUGGAACACGGACCAG
rnacentral:rRNA from 1 species